rnacentral:lncRNA from 1 species
GUUAAUGUGAUAACAGUUGAGACCGAAGUUUGCUUUGCUUGCAUGCAUUCUCUUCGUAUUUUGCAGACGGUAGCAGAAUAGACCUCCUCAAUAUGCCUGCAAACCAUCACCAAUUUCCCUGCUGGAUUCAACACAGGUAAGGAUGAAGGUGAGUUGUGAGGCAGUUAUGAGCAAGCACCAAUUCAGUUUACCAAUCUUCAAGACCUAACGCUGCACCUCAGAACAUAUUAAUAAUAAACAGAUUCGAUGCACCUCGGGUUGUGUAGUUCAACAUCUCACAAAGCAGGAUUGUCCAAUGCAAGACUUUGCAGAUAAAUCAGCAGAGAACUAGUCCAUCCAACAAUGUUCUGGAGUCAGAGAACUCGUCCUCCGGUAGCAGUGGACAUGGAUAGUUCCACAGAGUCCAUGCUUAGCAUCUCUUUCAAGAUCUUAAUUGUC